GGCCGAAAGGCGUAGUCGAUGGGAAACAGGUUAAUAUUCCUGUACUUGGUGUUACUGCGAAGGGGGGACGGAGAAGGCUAUGUUGGCCGGGCGACGGUUGUCCCGGUUUAAGCGUGUAGGCUGGUUUUCCAGGCAAAUCCGGAAAACCAAGGCUGAGGCGUGAUGACGAGGCACUACGGUGCUGAAGCGACAAAUGCCCUGCUUCCAGGAAAAGCCUCUAAGCAUCAGGUAACAUCAAAUCGUACCCCAAACCGACACAGGUGGUCAGGUAGAGAAUACCAAGGCGCUUGAGAGAACUCGGGUGAAGGAACUAGGCAAAAUGGUGCCGUAACUUCGGGAGAAGGCACGCUGAUAUGUAGGUGAAGCGACUUGCUCGUGGAGCUGAAAUCAGUCGAAGAUACCAGCUGGCUGCAACUGUUUAUUAAAAACACAGCACUGUGCAAACACGAAAGUGGACGUAUACGGUGUGACGCCUGCCCGGUGCCGGAAGGUUAAUUGAUGGGGUUAGCGGUAACGCGAAGCUCUUGAUCGAAGCCCCGGUAAACGGCGGCCGUAACUAUAACGGUCCUAAGGUAGCGAAAUUCCUUGUCGGGUAAGUUCCGACCUGCACGAAUGGCGUAAUGAUGGCCAGGCUGUCUCCACCCGAGACUCAGUGAAAUUGAACUCGCUGUGAAGAUGCAGUGUACCCGCGGCAAGACGGAAAGACCCCGUGAACCUUUACUAUAGCUUGACACUGAACAUUGAGCCUUGAUGUGUAGGAUAGGUGGGAGGCUUUGAAGUGUGGACGCCAGUCUGCAUGGAGCCGACCUUGAAAUACCACCCUUUAAUGUUUGAUGUUCUAACGUUGGCCCGUAAUCCGGGUUGCGGACAGUGUCUGGUGGGUAGUUUGACUGGGGCGGUCUCCUCCUAAAGAGUAACGGAGGAGCACGAAGGUUGGCUAAUCCUGGUCGGACAUCAGGAGGUUAGUGCAAUGGCAUAAGCCAGCUUGACUGCGAGCGUGACGGCGCGAGCAGGUGCGAAAGCAGGUCAUAGUGAUCCGGUGGUUCUGAAUGGAAGGGCCAUCGCUCAACGGAUAAAAGGUACUCCGGGGAUAACAGGCUGAUACCGCCCAAGAGUUCAUAUCGACGGCGGUGUUUGGCACCUCGAUGUCGGCUCAUCACAUCCUGGGGCUGAAGUAGGUCCCAAGGGUAUGGCUGUUCGCCAUUUAAAGUGGUACGCGAGCUGGGUUUAGAACGUCGUGAGACAGUUCGGUCCCUAUCUGCCGUGGGCGCUGGAGAACUGAGGGGGGCUGCUCCUAGUACGAGAGGACCGGAGUGGACGCAUCACUGGUGUUCGGGUUGUCAUGCCAAUGGCACUGCCCGGUAGCUAAAUGCGGAAGAGAUAAGUGCUGAAAGCAUCUAAGCACGAAACUUGC
rnacentral:rRNA from 1 species